AUUGAACUUGAUUCUCAAAUUCGAAAGGGAAAACAAUUUCUUUGAAACACAAGGUUGUUCUGAAUACGGUGAACUUUCAUUCACUGUAAAUUAAAUACAAACUAAAUGAGUUGAAACGCAGUUAAUCUCGAAAUUAGUUCGAAAUUUAAUGCAAUCAACUGCUUGAACGGAAUCAUCUUCAGAAUGGAAAAUGGCGACUUAAAUAUUGUUAAGCCCUUAAAAAAAUGGUGUUGACAACUUGCUUAUAGAUUUAGCAUGUUUUUACGGUACUAAAGAACCUUUACGUCCACAACACGUUGACAGAUGUCUUGCUGUGAAACAAGAAAAAGUGAGAGUCCCCCAUUGGCCAUGUCAAGAAACAGUGGCUGCUGCAGAAGUCAAUGAUAAAUCAAUUAGGAAUUGGAUAAAUGAACAAUUGUAAUUUAUAGAGUCAAUCAAUUUUAUAUAUUUUAUUUGUUGUACCAAGAACAUGUUGUAUAUAUUUAUGUAUUGAAUGAAAAGAAAAUACCCAACAUUUUACUUCUCAA